rnacentral:rRNA from 1 species
UAAGGAAUAUUGGUCAAUGGACGGAAGCCUGAACCAGCCAUGCCGCGUGCAGGAAGACGGCCCUACGGGUUGUAAACUGCUUUUGCAGGGGAAUAAACCCAGAUACGUGUAUCGGGCUGAAUGUACUCUGAGAAUAAGGAUCGGCUAACUCCGUGCCAGCAGCCGCGGUAAUACGGAGGAUCCAAGCGUUAUCCGGAUUUAUUGGGUUUAAAGGGUGCGUAGGCGGCCUAUUAAGUCAGGGGUGAAAGACGGUAGCUUAACUAUCGCAGUGCCUUUGAUACUGAUGGGCUUGAAUACACUAGAGGUAGGCGGAAUGUGACAAGUAGCGGUGAAAUGCAUAGAUAUGUCACAGAACACCAAUUGCGAAGGCAGCUUACUAUGGUGCAAUUGACGCUGAGGCACGAAAGCGUGGGGAUCAAACAGGAUUAGAUACCCGCGUAGUCC